rnacentral:rRNA from 1 species
ACUCAAAGGAAUUGACGGGGACCCGCACAAGCGGUGGAGUAUGUGGCUUAAUUCGAUGCAACGCGAAGAACCUUACCAAGGCUUGACAUGCAUUUCUAAGCGCGUGAAAGCGCGUGACUCUUCGGAGGACUUGCACAGGUGCUGCAUGGCCGUCGUCAGCUCGUGUCGUGAGAUGUUGGGUUAAGUCCCGCAACGAGCGCAACCCCUGUGGAUAGUUGCCAGCACGUAAUGGUGGGGACUCUAUUCAGACUGCCCAGAUCAACUGGGAGGAAGGUGGGGACGACGUCAGGUCAGUAUGGCCCUUACGCCUUGGGCUGCACACGUACUACAAUGCCCAGCACAAUGAGAACCGAGACCGCGAGGUGGAGGAAAUCUAUAAAACUGGGCCCAGUUCGGAUUGGAGGCUGCAACUCGCCUCCAUGAAGCCGGAAUCGCUAGUAAUGCUGCAUCAGCUACGGCAGCGUGAAUACGUUCCCGGGUCUUGUACACACCGCCCGU